GGCUGGCCCGGCCCGGCACGUGGGCCGUGCCUUUCCGUGGGCUGGCCUAGUGGAAAUGGCGGCACAGCACGGCCCGCUACAGCAUGGUCCGGCCUGUUGCCCAUCUUUAUCUCCAGGUAUUAUUAUCUCGCUCUUUUCUCUUCCUUGUUCUAAUUGAUCCAAUUUUCAUCUCUUCUCUUCAAUUAGAUUUUAGCUAUUAUAUAUGAAUGUUGACUGUUUUUAUUCUUCUUCUUUAUUUCUCCUCUUUUUUCCGUUUUAUUCGCCUUUUUUUCUCGUCCUCCUAUUUUUCUGUUUUCUCUCUAAAAUAGGUGGAAGGAGAAGAUGGAGCAAGGUUUGGUGGACUCGAGUUUGAGGUGAAUAUACUCAGCAUCAGCUUGAGAGGUAAUUUGUUGAUUCUUCGAUGCCGUUAUCUCUGAUCUCCAGUAUAGUCAUGCACAGGACAUCUUUAGAGUGCCAAGAUGCUUCUCUGGCUCGUUAUGGAUUUGGGAAGGCAUGACCAAUCAUUUCGUGUAAUGCUAAGUCACUUCCUCUGGCAAUCAGGCAAGUACAUUGAUAAAAGGCUCAGAUUUUGUAUGAGCAACAUCAACCUUGAAUUGAAUUAGCAAAAGAGAGAAACAAGAUAAUGAGGUGGCAGCUGCACAACAAAGACAGCAGCAACAAGGCGGCAGCAGCAGACCCUGGUUGGUUACGGUAGUGUAUAAAGGAGGCAGCAGCAACAUCUAAACUAGAGGUGAGAGGAUGGUGCAAAAGAUUUGAGGUCUGGAGUUUUCGUUAAUUCACAAAUCUAUGCUUUUUUGGUGGAAACAAUUGAUUGGUUUUGUUGGGUUUUUAAUAAUAGAAUAUGGGUGUUGGAUAAUUUUGCCCAGACUAUUUUUUUGUGAAGUUAAGUAGAUAAUCCAUUCCAGUGUUUUAGUUUAGGAUAGCCUAAAAUGUUGUUAAAUAGUUUCUUGCAUUUGAUGUUACUCAGAUGGAUAUGAGAGUUUAAGAUUAAUCGUAAUUUUGGGCUAUGUUCUUCCAUUUGUAUGAAUGUUACAUAUCGCGUUAUGUAGAGUUUUUAUAAGUUA